GAACUUGUAUUAUUUAUUUAUUUCCCAAAUGGAUACCCUGUUCUUUCAUCACUGUUAAGCAUAUAUUUGUGAGUGUGUGUGCGUAUAACUAUUCCUAGAAUGAACGUCUUGAAUAGCUGGAUACUGAGGGUUGGGUCAUCAGAAAUGUCAGUCAUACUAAACAGGCAGAUAUGGCACUUUCAACAUAUGUGGGCUUUUAAGCACCGACCCACAUUUGAUCUUCAAAUCCCAGCACUGCAACUCAGGGCUUGUACAACUUUGAGCAAGCCCAUCUGUGAUCCUCCUUGAGUCUUGGUUUCUUCAUCCAUAAAAUGGGGUAGUAAUACUUCCUCAGACUGAAGCCUGCCCUCCUCCCACCUCCCUCCUUCACCUAGUGAUCGCCUCAGGCCCUUACUGUGAUACAUGGCAGGCCAUGCUUGGUUCCCAGCUUUGGUGAAUUCUUUCUAUCCAUGGAUGGAGCCACUCUCUCGGAAAGGACUCCGUGGAGAACUGACAUAUAGAAAAUGCUCAGUCAGUUGAUAAAGCAGCACAUCCUGAAUGGCUGAUGAUUUGAAAAUGUGCCACAGAAACGCGGUGCCUCAGACCUGAAAGAAAACACAAUUGAUCUACGCAAGCCACUUCUCUGAUGUGGUCCCACCUCAUCUAUAUCCUCAGCCUGAUGUAGUGUACAUACCACCUAAUCUAGUAACUGGCACAUAUUAAAUGC
ensembl:lncRNA